rnacentral:rRNA from 1 species
AUUAGAGUUUGAUCAUGGCUCAGAAUGAACGCUGGCGGCAUGCCUAACACAUGCAAGUCGAACGAAGGCUUCGGCCUUAGUGGCGCACGGGUGCGUAACGCGUGGGAAUCUGCCCUUGGGUUCGGAAUAACAGUUAGAAAUGACUGCUAAUACCGGAUGAUGUCGUAAGACCAAAGAUUUAUCGCCCAAGGAUGAGCCCGCGUAGGAUUAGCUAGUUGGUGGGGUAAAGGCCUACCAAGCCUGCGAUCUGUAGCUGGUCUGAGAGGAUGAUCAGCCACACUGGGACUGAGACACGGCCCAGACUCCUACGGGAGGCAGCAGUGGGGAAUAUUGGACAAUGGGCGAAAGCCUGAUCCAGCAAUGCCGCGUGAGUGAUGACGGCCUUCGGGUUGUAAACCUCUUUUAGUAGGGAAGAAGCGAAAGUGACGGUACCUGCAGAAAAAGCACCGGCUAACUACGUGCCAGCAGCCGCGGUAAUAAU